rnacentral:rRNA from 1 species
GGAGUGCUUGCACUCCUGAUGGUUAGCGGCGGACGGGUGAGUAACACGUAGGUAACCUGCCCAUAAGACUGGGAUAACCCACGGAAACGUGAGCUAAUACCAGAUAGGCAUUUUCCUCGCAUGAGGGAAAUGAGAAAGGCGGAGCAAUCUGUCACUUAUGGAUGGACCUGCGGCGCAUUAGCUAGUUGGUGAGGUAACGGCUCACCAAGGCGACGAUGCGUAGCCGACCUGAGAGGGUGAUCGGCCACACUGGGACUGAGACACGGCCCAGACUCCUACGGGAGGCAGCAGUAGGGAAUCUUCCGCAAUGGACGAAAGUCUGACGGAGCAACGCCGCGUGAGUGAUGAAGGUUUUCGGAUCGUAAAGCUCUGUUGCCAGGGAAGAACGCCUAGGAGAGUAACUGCUCUUAGGGUGACGGUACCUGAGAAGAAAGCCCCGGCUAACUACGUGCCAGCAGCCGCGGUAAUACGUAGGGGGCGAGCGUUGUCCGGAAUUAUUGGGCGUAAAGCGCGCGCAGGCGGCAAUGUAAGUUGGGUGUUUAAACCUAGGGCUCAACCUUGGGUCGCAUCCAAAACUGCAUAGCUUGAGUACAGAAGAGGAAAGUGGAAUUCCACGUGUAGCGGUGAAAUGCGUAGAGAUGUGGAGGAACACCAGUGGCGAAGGCGACUUUCUGGGCUGUAACUGACGCUGAGGCGCGAAAGCGUGGGGAGCA